UCCCGUUCUUUAUCUGCGCAUCGCCUCCAGCAUGGCCCGCGACGAGGGCUGGCUGGCCGAGCACAUGCUGGUGGGGCCUUUUUGGGGUGAAAUCAGGGGGUUUUGGGUUUUUGGAGGAUCUGGGUUGGUUUUGGGGUGGUUUUGAGGUGUUUUGGGGUCUUUGUUGGGUUGCGUUGGGUUUCCAUUGGGUUUCCGUUGGGUUUUAUGGUGGUUGGGAGUGGAUUGCAGGUUUUGGAGAACAUCAGGUAGGUUUAGGGGUUUUUUGGGGUGAAAUCAUGGGAUUUGGGGUUUUCUUCUAUUUUUUAGGGUUUUCUUUUGUUUUUUUUGGAGUGAUCGUGUUCUUUUUUGGGGCGUUUUUGGGGUGUUUUGUGGUUUGCGUUGGGUUUUGUUGGGUUCCCAAUGGGUUUUACGGUGGUUGGGAGUGGACUUCGGGAUUUGGAGAACAUCAGGUAGGUUUAAGGGUUUUUUUGGGGUGAAAUCAUGGGAUUUGGGGUUUUUCUUUCGUUUUUGGGUGUGAUCCUGUUCUUUUUUGGGAUGUUUUUGAGGUGUUUUGGGGUCUCCGUUGGGUUUUGUUGGGUUCUUGUUGGUCAUUACGGUAAAUGGGAGUGGAUUGUGGGUUUUGGAGAACAUCAGGUGAGUUUAGGGUGGUUUUGGGGUGAAAUCAUGGGAUUUUGUUUUUUUUGAGGAUCUGGGUUGAUUUUGGGGUGGUUUUGAAGUUUUUGGGGCCAUUUCUGCUGGAUUUGGGGCUGUUUUGGGUGGCUUAGGGCUUCUGGGGUUGGCUUUGGGGCCGUUUCUGGUGCUUUUGGGGCCGUUUUUGGUGUCUUUGGGGCUGUUUUGAGCAGAUUUGGGUUCUGGGCUUGUCUUUGGGGCCAUUUCUGAUGAAUUUGGGGCCGUUUCUGGUGGCUUUGGGGCCGUUUUUGGUGGAUAUGGGCUUCUGGAUUGUGGAUUUGGGGUCAUUUCUGAUGAAUUUGGGGCCAUU
rnacentral:lncRNA from 1 species